AGUGAACGCUGGCGGUAGGCCUAACACAUGCAAGUCGAACGGCAGCACAGUAAGAGCUUGCUCUUACGGGUGGCGAGUGGCGGACGAGUGAGGAAUACAUCGGAAUCUACUUUUUCGUGGGGGAUAACGUAGGGAAACUUACGCUAAUACCGCAUACGACCUACGGGUGAAAGCAGGGGAUCUUCGGACCUUGCGCGAUUGAAUGAGCCGAUGUCGGAUUAGCUAGUUGGCGGGGUAAAGGCCCACCAAGGCGACGAUCCGUAGCUGGUCUGAGAGGAUGAUCAGCCACACCGGAACUGAGACACGGUCCAGACUCCUACGGGAGGCAGCAGUGGGGAAUAUUGGACAAUGGGCGCAAGCCUGAUCCAGCCAUACCGCGUGGGUGAAGAAGGCCUUCGGGUUGUAAAGCCCUUUUGUUGGGAAAGAAAAGCAGCAGGUUAAUACCCCGCUGUUCUGACGGUACCCAAAGAAUAAGCACCGGCUAACUUCGUG
rnacentral:rRNA from 1 species